rnacentral:rRNA from 1 species
UACGUAGGGAGCAAGCGUUGUCCGGAAUCAUUGGGCGUAAAGCGCGCGUAGGUGGCCAUGUAAGUCUGCUGUGAAAGUCAAAGGCUCAACCUUUGAAAGCCGGUGGAUACUGCAUGGCUAGAGUACGGAAGAGGCGAGUGGAAUUCCUGGUGUAGCGGUGGAAUGCGCAGAUAUCAGGAGGAACACCAAUAGCGAAGGCAGCUCGCUGGGACGUCACUGACACUGAGGCGCGAAAGCGUGGGGAGCGAACAGG